rnacentral:rRNA from 1 species
AACGAACGCUGGCGGCAUGCCUAACACAUGCAAGUCGAACGAGACCUUCGGGUCUAGUGGCGCACGGGUGCGUAACGCGUGGGAACCUGCCCUUAGGUUCGGAAUAACUCCCCGAAAGGGGUGCUAAUACCGGAUAAUGUCUUCGGACCAAAGAUUUAUCGCCUUUGGAUGGGCCCGCGUUGGAUUAGCUUGUUGGUAGGGUAAAAGCCUACCAAGGCGACGAUCCAUAGCUGGGUUGAGAGGAUGAUCAGCCACACUGGGACUGGGACGCGGCGCAGACUCCUACGGGAGGCAGCAGUGGGGGAUAUUGGACUAUGGGCGAAAGCCUGAACCAGCAAUGCCGCGUGAGUGAUGAAGGCCCUAGGGUUGUAAAGCUCUUUUACCCGGGAUGAUAAUGACGGUACCGGGAGAAUAAGCACCGGCUAACUCCGUG